UACGAGGGGGGCAAGCGUUGUUCGGAAUUAUUGGGCGUAAAGGGUGCGUAGGCGGUCUGACAAGUCUGAUGUGAAAUCUAUGGGCUCAACCCGUAGUCUGCAUCGGAAACUGUCGGGCUUGAGUAUGGGAGAGGUGAGUGGAAUUUCCGGUGUAGCGGUGAAAUGCGUAGAUAUCGGGAAGGAACACCGGUGGCGAAAGCGGCUCACUGGACCAUUACUGACG
rnacentral:rRNA from 1 species